CUGGGCGUAAAGCGCACGCAGGCGGUCUGUCAAGUCGGAUGUGAAAUCCCCCGGGCUCAACCCUGGGAACUGCAUUCGAAACUGGCAGGCUAGAGUCUUGUAGAGGGGGGGUAGAAUUCCAGGUGUAGCGGUGAAAUGCGUAGAGAUCUGGAGGAAUACCGGUGGCGAAGGCGGCCCCCUGGACAAAGACUGACGCUCAGGUGCGAAAGCGUGGGGAGCAAACAGGAUUAGAUACCCUGGUAGUCCACGCCGUAAACGAUGUCGAUUUGGAGGUUGUGCCCUUGAGGCGUGGCUUCCGGAGCUAACGCGUUAAAUCGACCGCCUGGGGAGUACGGCCGCAAGGUUAAAACUCAAAUGAAUUGACGGGGGCCCGCACAAGCGGUGGAGCAUGUGGUUUAAUUCGAUGCAACGCGAAGAACCUUACCUGGUCUUGACAUCCACAGAACUUUCCAGAGAUGGAUUGGUGCCUUCGGGAACUGUGAGACAGGUGCUGCAUGGCUGUCGUCAGCUCGUGUUGUGAAAUGUUGGGUUAAGUCCCGCAACGAGCGCAACCCUUAUCCUUUGUUGCCAGCGGUUAGGCCGGGAACUCAAAGGAGACUGCCAGUGAUAAACUGGAGGAAGGUGGGGAUGACGUCAAGUCAUCAUGGCCCUUACGACCAGGGCUACACACGUGCUACAAUGGCAUAUACAAAGAGAAGCGACCUCGCGAGAGCAAGCGGACCUCAUAAAGUAUGUCGUAGUCCGGAUUGGAGUCUGCAACUCGACUCCAUGAAGUCGGAAUCGCUAGUAAUCGUAGAUCAGAAUGCUACGGUGAAUACGUUCCCGGGCCUUGUACACACCGCCCGUCACACCAUGGGAGUGGGUUGCAAAAGAAGUAGGUAG
rnacentral:rRNA from 1 species